AACGAACGCUGGCGGCAGGCUUAACACAUGCAAGUCGAGCGCCCCGCAAGGGGAGCGGCAGACGGGUGAGUAACGCGUGGGAAUCUACCCCUCUUUACGGAAUAACGCAUGGAAACGUGUGCUAAUACCGUAUACGCCCUUCGGGAGAAAGAUUUAUCGGAGAUGGAUGAGCCCGCGUUGGAUUAGCUAGUUGGUGGGGUAAAGGCCUACCAAGGCGACGAUCCAUAGCUGGUCUGAGAGGAUGAUCAGCCACACUGGGACUGAGACACGGCCCAGACUCCUACGGGGGGCAGCAGUGGGGAAUAUUGGACAAUGGGCGCAAGCCUGAUCCAGCCAUGCCGCGUGAGUGAUGAAGGCCCUAGGGUUGUAAAGCUCUUUCACCGGUGAAGAUAAUGACGGUAACCGGAGAAGAAGCCCCGGCUAACUUCGUGCCAGCCGCCGCCGUAAUAC
rnacentral:rRNA from 1 species